GAGCAUGCGGUUCAUACCCGCAGCGUCACUGGUUCGAAUCCAGUCGCCGCUACCA
rnacentral:tRNA from 1 species